rnacentral:rRNA from 1 species
UACGGAGGAUGCGAGCGUUAUCCGGAUUUAUUGGGUUUAAAGGGUGCGUAGGCGGAUUUGUAAGUCAGCGGUGAAAUCUCCAGGCUCAACCUGGAACCUGCCGUUGAAACUGCAGAUCUUGAGUAUGGAUGAAGUAGGCGGAAUUCGUUGUGUAGCGGUGAAAUGCUUAGAUAUAACGAGGAACUCCGAUUGCGUAGGCAGCUUACUAAGCUAUAACUGACGCUCAUGCACGAAAGCGUGGGGAUCAAACAGG